rnacentral:rRNA from 1 species
CCCCACUGCUAUCGGGAUAGGACUAAGACAUGCUAGUCGAGCGCUCUCUAGCCACGAUGAGAGCGCGGCGCACAGCUCAGUAACACGUGGCUAACCUGCCCUUGGGACAGAGACACCCCCGGGAAACUGGGGUUAAUCCCUGAUAGGCGAAGAACUCUGGAAUGAGUCUUCACCCAAAAGACGCUUAAGUCAUGCUCUUAAGCGCCGCCCAAGGAUGGGGCCGCGACCGAUCAGGUUGUUGGUGAGGUAAUGGCCCACCAAGCCUUUUACCGGUGCGGGCCGUGGGAGCGGGAGCCCGGAGAUGGGCACUGAGACAAGGGCCCAGGCCCUACGGGGCGCAGCAGUCGCGCAAACUUUGCAAUACACGAAAGUGUGACAGGGCUAUCCCGAGUGCCGUCCGCUGAGGGUGGCUUUUACCCAGUCUAGAAAGCUGGGAGAAUAAGGAGAGGGCAAGUCUGGUGUCAGCCGCCGCGGUAAUACCAGCUCUCCGAGUGGUGUGGAUGUUUAUUGGGCCUAAAGCAUCCGUAGCUUGCCAGGCAAGUCCCCUGUUAAACCCAACGAAUCAAUCGUUGGAUUGCGGGGGAUACUGCUCGGCUAGGGGACGAGAGAGGCCGACGGUAUUUUCGGGGUAGGGGUGAAAUCCUAUAAUCCCGGGAAGACCACCAGUGGCGAAGGCUGUCGGCUAGAACGCGCCCAACAGUGAGGGAUGAAAGCUGGGGGAGCGAACCGGAUUAGAUACCCGGGUAGUCCCAGCUGUAAACUAUGCAGGCUAGGUGUUUGGGCGGCUACGCGCCGCUCUAGUGCCGCAGGGAAGCUGUUAAGCCUGCCGCCUGGGGAGUACGAUCGCAAGAUUGAAACUUAAAGGAAUUGGCGGGGGAGCACCACAAGGGGUGAAGCUUGCGGUU